rnacentral:rRNA from 1 species
GAUGAACGCUGGCGGCGUGCCUAAUACAUGCAAGUCGAGCGAACAGAUGAGGAGCUUGCUCCUCUGACGUUAGCGGCGGACGGGUGAGUAACACGUGGAUAACCUACCUAUAAGACUGGGAUAACUUCGGGAAACCGGAGCUAAUACCGGAUAAUAUAUUGAACCGCAUGGUUCAAUAGUGAAAGACGGUUUUGCUGUCACUUAUAGAUGGAUCCGCGCCGCAUUAGCUAGUUGGUAAGGUAACGGCUUACCAAGGCAACGAUGCGUAGCCGACCUGAGAGAGUGAUCGGCCCCACUGGAACUGAGACACGGUCCAGACUACUACGGGAGGCAGCAGUAGGGAAUCUUCCGCAAUGGGCGAAAGCCUGACGGAGCAACGCCGCGUGAGUGAUGAAGGUCUUCGGAUCGUAAAACUCUGUUAUUAGGGAAGAACAAAUGUGUAAGUAACUAUGCACGUCUUGACGGUACCUAAUCAGAAAGCCACGGCUAACUACGUG